CCUACGGGGGGCUGCAGUGGGGGAUAUUGCACAAUGGGGGGAACCCUGAUGCAGCGACGCCGCGUGGGUGAAGGAGCGUUUCGGCGCGUAAAGCCCUAUCGGCAGGGAAGAAGAUGACGGUACCUGACCAAGAAGCCCCGGCUAACUACGUGCCAGCAGCCGCGGUAAUACGUAGGGGGCAAGCGUUAUCCGGAUUUACUGGGUGUAAAGGGAGCGUAGACGGCCAUGCAAGCCAGGGGUGAAAGCCCGGGGCCCAACCCCGGGACUGCCCUUGGAACUGCAUGGCUGGAGUGCGGGAGGGGCAGGCGGAAUUCCUGGUGUAGCGGUGAAAUGCGUAGAUAUCAGGAGGAACACCGGCGGCGAAGGCGGCCUGCUGGACUGUAACUGACGUUGAGGCUCGAAAGCGUGGGGAGCAAACAGGAUUAGAUACCCUUGUAGUC
rnacentral:rRNA from 1 species